CACUGGGAAGCUAAAAAGGGAUUAGCAUUAGCCUUUUAAGCUAAAGAUUGGUGACCCCCAACCACCUCCAGUGA
rnacentral:tRNA from 2 species